AGAUCUCUGAAUUUUGUCUGUUUUCCUCGCAUGACCUCCUCCCUCUUCGCCACUCGAAUCCCGGUGCUGCCGUCGUUUUCAACAAGGAAAUCGCGUCCCGAUAAGAUCAUCGCGCUCGCGCGUUCCACACAACUAUUCAUUACCUCGAUUAUUUACAAUGAUUUUCAUGCACACUUAUAUACGAACGUCCACGCAUUUUUAUAACUCGUAUCCGGGAUAUAACGAGGUCAUGACACGUUAAUAUUGCGUCGAAAAGUAUUUAUAGCAUAGCGGUGCGAUAAUGUAUGUGCGUGCGAUUUAAAAUUAUCGCGAAGCCGGAAUAUUCGAGUCGAUGAUACCGUUUAAUGGCGGCAACGCGCGCCAAGUCGACAUAGAAAACCAUACAUAUCGAGCGUAAAGCGAACAGAGUCCCGAUGGGUACCCGGAUACGCGCUUUGCAUCCACAAGAGGCGGUACCGGUGUGCUCUUCAGUUGCUACAACUCUUCACACAGAAAGGUAAACCGACUAAGAGCCGCACAACCAACCCAGUUGUGUGUCCAGAGGCAAUAUUCGCAUCGUUUGCGAUGCCAACUUCCGACAGACCAAACGCUGCUUUUCAUUAUGCGAAAAGCACGUGGCCAGAAGAAGCAAAAUUAUGAGAUAGGAGAGAGGAGAAAGCAAAACACUUUGAAAACACUUUGUGUUAACAAUGGCUACGUCUUGCUGCGAAAGAAGAAGAGGAAAAAUAGCAAACUUAUCGUGCUCUCUGUAAUCUCAACACAACAGCCUCUACGAUCGUGCGAAUUUUAACCUUAUAGACGAUACACAUAUAAGGUCAUCAGCAGAUAAAAGGUCAACGACGUACUGUCCGAAGUUCAAAACAAGCUUCUCAGAAUUGUCGAUAAUGUAUUGAUUGAAGAAUGUAUUGGAAAGAGGGGCAUGAUGAGUAUGCUAAAAAGGUAUCGAUCAGAUAACUAAAUACUUACGCUCAACUGUUCAUUAUCAUGAGAGUAAACUCAAUUAAAUUUAUAUCAAUGUGCCCUAUGACAAUGGAAAUCUUUGAGAAAUAUUCUAAAAUUCAUGUAAUCACAAGAGCGAAACGUUGAUACAUUACAGGGUUGUCAGAUAGCAGUCUCCUUCGAGAAGGAUUGUCCUCUUUAGACAAAAUUUUCACGUUCUGUCAAAGACGCUAUUUGUCCUUCCCACCGCAUCGAGGGAGGACUUUUUUGCUCGUCAGACGUGGUGCGGUCUAUCGAACUUAUCUUACGUCGCCACAAGUUCAUCUUGAGAUAUUCCUCAACACCUGACCACGAAUACCACAGGAGUACCACACGCGAAUCGGGGAAAUAGGAAUACGUGACGUAUAUAAAUUCCAAAAUUCAACGAAGCAUUCAGGUAAAGAAAUAUUGAAAACUGCCGUUCACAAAAGUAUAUGUUGACCAGAUGUACCCUACUCAGCAAUCUUUUCUUUUCUUUUUCAAAACUUAUGGCCGUCCUGUCAACUCACAAAUCUGGCAACCCUAAGCCGAUUAGAAGAUUAGGGACACUCUAAAGCGAUAUAACGAACGCACAAACAUAAACAUAUCACUAUCUCCCAUUAUUUCUUGUAGGUUUAAAUUAAAAUUGGCAUUCGUACGAUACUACUGGCAAUUGUAUGAUACUAUCUCCAAUUGCUUGGUGAAAUUGAUUGAAGAAUGUAUUGAAAUGAGUGAUAUAGUAGUGAGUAUGUGAAAAGGUAUCGAACAGAAAUCAGAUGACUAAAUAUUUGACUCAACUUUUCCAUUAUCAUAAGAGUAAACGCAGCCGAGUCCAUAUCGAAAUCUCCGAAGCACGGUUCAGUGCCUGAAAGUUUUGAGAUAUCGCGAAAUUCAUGCAUUCAUAUACGAAAAAGAAAUUUCAGUUUGUCUGAACUUGUUCGGCCGCAUUGAAACUCGGUUGAGGUAACUGAGAGCAAUUGGCAGGAGUGAGAAUCUACGGGAAUCUUUCUGUUCCCACACAUUCAAGUUUUCCAUCUAGUUUUCAAACAACAGACAAUUCACACUAACGGAGUUGUUUUUUUCUGUGUAAACAGAAUGUCGAUAUACAGCCAACCGAAAGAUUAGCGGCGCUUUAAAGCGCGAUACCUCGACGAUCACGAGCUCAAACUUAUUACAGUGUAUCCCUCAUUGUUUCCUGCGUGUCCGAAUCCAAAUUGACAUUCGCGAUUGCGUACGAUACUACCUCUAAUUGCUCGGCGAAAUUACUCGACGUACCUUAUAUCAUUCGGAUCUCAACAACUUGCUGCGUCUGUUUACGAUUCGCCGAGGAAAGGAAACGUGGUUCGAGCUUUUCCACGCGACGUGAACUUCUCGUUCCAAUGCAAAAGGAAUUCGACAAACCCGGAAUGAGGAACUCCACGGUCACGCGGUUCGCCACCCACGUUCCGUCUUAUUCAUAGUUUCAGCAGCGAGCAGAGGCGAACGCACAAGAGUACGUGUUAUAAUACACAUUCGUCAUUGGAAAGCCGAUAAUUUUGGGACCAGAGCGAAAUGUCAAGUUUCAGUCCGAGUGCCGUACCAGAACUUUCAACAUUCGACAAACUUAGCAGCGCGCAAGUGAACGCGCGCGCACGUGCGGCGUACUGCGACGGAACAGAAUACACGACGACAUAAAAUACGAAACGUUCAACAAGAACGACUGCAGCAAGAAUUUGGAAAUCAACAAGGGUAGAGUCGGGCUCUACUCAGGAUGCAACUUUUGUUUGACUGUAUAUGCAUCUUAGUGUAAAAAAACUGCAAUAUAAUGAGAGUUUCUAUUAUAUUCCUACUAAAAUACACAAAAAUUACACAAUUUUUUCGUUUCUGCUGUAUGGUUCCAAGAAAAAACUUAAGAUGUACUUUGAGAAAACUUUAACUGAGUUAAGUAUUACCUAAUCUUGUGUAGUUACAUUGAGAAAAAGAUACUUGUAAAGAGAACGGUUAAGCUUUUAUAAGCUUUUAGUGGCAGAAUCUUUUUAGUGGCUUUAUUUAGUGGCAGAAUCUUAAAUUAUUUUUUUUUUAUAAAACUGAUGGGUAGACUAAAGAGAGAAAGAUAUCAAAUAAGUAUCAAAGUGAUGUGUCCAAAUAGAUAUGAUGUCGAAACAAAUAGGUAUUGUUAAAAAACUUACAAGAAACUUAAUACUUACGUAUAAGAAAUGUUGCAAGAAAUGGGGGAGGGAGAGAGACAGAGAUAAAAGUUCUUAUCAAUAAAAUAAUACGCAUUACAAAUACUAAUAAUACUUAAUAAUUUAUGGUGACUUUUAUCAAGCUCCGAUUAACUUCAUCGCCAAUUAAUAGGGCUACUCUUGGCGGUACUAUUUAUGUGAAAUAAAGUUUAUGCCCUGCAAAU